GCUCAGUAGACUUGUUCAAGAGACGCGACAGGUUGAGAGAAACCACCUAGUUAAGGCAUGUCUAAAAGAAUAACAGGAGCCACCCGAAUCACAGAUGAUGAACUUAAGGAACUUGUCCUGAAAUUACAAGCACUCGUACCUGCAGAGUCUAGCUCAAGGAGCACUACAAGGGUAUCAUCAUCAAAGAUUCUCAAAGAGACAUGCAAUUACAUCAAGAAGUUGCACAAAGAGGUAGAUGAUUUAAGCACCAGACUUACUUAUUUACUAGACUCCAUGGAUAGUAACAGUGUGGAUGUGGAGACUCUCCGAAGCCUUUUGCAACAAUCUUACAUUUAGGUCUGGAACUCCCGGUCUCCUCAAGAACAGAACUCUAUGGUCAUUGUAACAUGAAAAUAUAACAUAUCUUACUUAGCACUCUAUCCGGAAACUAGCUUUGUUUCCCCUGGUUUUGUUGGAUUUAUAAUAGAGAAACAUGGUACGAGUGGCACCAUUUCAUACAAGGCUUUGAGAAUCUGAAUUUUUGGUGAAAUGAAGGAAAUUAUAUGUACUUCUUUUUUUUUUGAAUAAAAAAUUAUAUGUACUUCUAGUUUCGUUCUUUUCAGUGGAUGAAAUGCAAAUCUUUAAUAAGAAUGUCAAAGCUGUUCUGCAUA